GCCUGCCAGUGACUAAGUUCAACGGCCGCGGUAUCCUAACCGUGCGAAGGUAGCGUAAUCACUUGUUCUUUAAAUGAGGACUAGUAUGAAUGGCACCACGAAGGUUAUGCUGUCUCCUUUUUCUAAUCAAUGAAACUGAUCUCCCCGUGAAGAAGCGGGGAUACAACUAUAAGACGAGAAGACCCUAUGGAGCUUUAAACCAUGUAACACUGGCUCAUACAUUAAAAUAUUUCAGAAUUUCUCAUAAUUACUCUAGCCACCAUGAUUACUAGUUUUAGGUUGGGGUGACCACGGAGCAAAAAUUAACCUCCAUGUUAAACGGAGCUACUCCUGAGCCAAAAGCCACGACUUUAAGCACUAAUAAAUUAAUAUUAAUUGACCCAAUAUUUUUGAUCAACGAACCAAGUUACCCUAGGGAUAACAGCGCA
rnacentral:rRNA from 1 species